rnacentral:rRNA from 1 species
GUUGUAUAGUCAAGUAAUUAAGUGCAUGUGGUGGAUGCCUUGGCAGUCAGAGGCGAUGAAAGACGUGAUAGCCUGCGAAAAGCUCCGGGGAGGCGGCAAAUAUCCUUUGAUCCGGAGAUGUCUGAAUGGGGGAACCCACCUACUUUAAGGUAGGUAUUGCAACAUGAAUACAUAGUGUUGCAAGGCGAACGAGGGGAAGUGAAACAUCUCAGUACCCUUAGGAAAAGAAAUCAAUUGAGAUUCCCUCAGUAGCGGCGAGCGAACGGGGAUCAGCCCAUUAAGUUAUGUGUGUUUUAGUGGAACGCUCUGGGAAGUGCGAACGUAGAGGGUGAUAUUCCCGUACACGAAAGGGCACACAUAAUGAUGACGAGUAGGGCGAGGCACGUGAAACCUUGUCUGAAUAUGGGGGGACCAUCCUCCAAGGCUAAAUACUCCUGACUGACCGAUAGUGAACCAGUACCGUGAGGGAAAGGCGAAAAGAACCCCUGUGAGGGGAGUGAAAUAGAUCCUGAAACCGCAUGCAUACAAGCAGUGGGAGCACCUUCGUGGUGUGACUGCGUACCUUUUGUAUAAUGGGUCAGCGACUUAUAUUCAGUAGCAAGGUUAACCGUAUAGGGGAGCCGUAGAGAAAUCGAGUCUUAAUAGGGCGUUUAGUUGCUGGGUAUAGACCCGAAACCAGGCGAUCUAUCCAUGAGCAGGUUGAAGGUUGGGUAACACUAACUGGAGGACCGAACCCACUGUCGUUGAAAAGCCAGGGGAUGACUUGUGGAUAGGGGUGAAAGGCUAAUCAAGCCUGGUGAUAGCUGGUUCUCCCCGAAAGCUAUUUAGGUAGCGCCUCGGACGAAUACCAUAGGGGGUAGAGCACUGUUUCGGCUAGGGGGUCAUCCCGACUUACCAAACCGAUGCAAACUCCGAAUACCUAUGAGUACUAUCCGGGAGACAGACUGCGGGUGCUAACGUCCGUAGUCAAGAGGAAAACAAUCCAGACCGCCAGCUAAGGCCCCAAAAUCAUAGUUAAGUGGGAAACGAUGUGGGAAGGCAUAGACAGCUAGGAGGUUGGCUUAGAAGCAGCCACCCUUUAAAGAAAGCGUAAUAGCUCACUAGUCGAGUCGGCCUGCGCGGAAGAUGUAACGGGGCUAAAACUAUGUGCCGAAGCUGCGGAUGUAUACUUUGUAUACGUGGUAGGGGAGCGUUCUGUAAGCCGAUGAAGGUGUGUUGAGAAGCAUGCUGGAGGUAUCAGAAGUGCGAAUGCUGACGUGAGUAACGACAAAACGGGUGAAAAACCCGUUCGCCGAAAGACCAAGGGUUCCAGUCCAACGUUAAUCGGGGCUGGGUGAGUCGACCCCUAAGGCGAGGCCGAAAGGCGUAGUCGAUGGGAAAAUGGUUAAUAUUCCAUUACUUCUGUGUAAUGCGAUGAGAGGACGGAGAAGGCUAAAUCAGCCUGGCGUUGGUUGUCCAGGUGAAAGGAUGUAGGCAUGUAUCUUAGGCAAAUCCGGGGUACUCUAUGCUGAGAUCUGAUAGCAAGCUGUACUUGUACAGCGAAGUGGUUGAUGCCAUGCUUCCAGGAAAAGUCUCUAAGCUUCAGUUACACAGGAAUCGUACCCGAAACCGACACAGGUGGUCAGGUCGAGUAGACCAAGGCGCUUGAGAGAACUCUGCUGAAGGAACUAGGCAAAAUGGUACCGUAACUUCGGGAGAAGGUACGCUGUUGUUGGUGAUGGAACUCGCUUCCUGAGCUGACGACAGCCGCAGAAACCAGGCCGCUGCAACUGUUUAUUAAAAACAUAGCACUCUGCAAACACGAAAGUGGACGUAUAGGGUGUGAUGCCUGCCCGGUGCUGGAAGGUUAAUUGAUGGGGUUAGCGUAAGCGAAGCUCUUGAUCGAAGCCCCAGUAAACGGCGGCCGUAACUAUAACGGUCCUAAGGUAGCGAAAUUCCUUGUCGGGUAAGUUCCGACCUGCACGAAUGGCAUAAUGAUGGCGGCGCUGUCUCCAGCAGAGGCUCAGUGAAAUCGAAAUCGCUGUGAAGAUGCAGUGUACCCGCGGCUAGACGGAAAGACCCCGUGAACCUUUACUGCAGCUUGACACUGAACUUUGACCUUACUUGUGUAGGAUAGGUGGGAGGCUUUGAAGCUGGAACGCUAGUUCCAGUGGAGCCGUCCUUGAAAUACCACCCUGGUAAUGUUGAGGUUCUAACUCUGUCCCGUGAUCCGGGACGAGGACCGUGUCUGGUGGGUAGUUUGACUGGGGCGGUCUCCUCCUAAAGAGUAACGGAGGAGUACGAAGGUGCGCUCAGCGUGGUCGGAAAUCACGCGUAGAGUAUAAAGGCAAAAGCGCGCUUAACUGCGAGACCCACAAGUCGAGCAGGUACGAAAGUAGGUCUUAGUGAUCCGGUGGUUCUGUAUGGAAGGGCCAUCGCUCAACGGAUAAAAGGUACUCUGGGGAUAACAGGCUGAUACCGCCCAAGAGUUCAUAUCGACGGCGGUGUUUGGCACCUCGAUGUCGGCUCAUCUCAUCCUGGGGCUGAAGCAGGUCCCAAGGGUAUGGCUGUUCGCCAUUUAAAGAGGUACGCGAGCUGGGUUUAGAACGUCGUGAGACAGUUCGGUCCCUAUCUACCGUGGGCGCUGGAAAUUUGAGAGGAUCUGCUCCUAGUACGAGAGGACCAGAGUGGACGAACCUCUGGUGUACCGGUUGUGACGCCAGUCGCAUCGCCGGGUAGCUAUGUUCGGAAGGGAUAACCGCUGAAAGCAUCUAAGCGGGAAGCCUACCUCAAGAUAAGAUUUCCCUAGGACUUUAUGUCCUCUAAAGAGCCGUUCGAGACUAGGACGUUGAUAGGUUGGAUGUGGAAGCAUAGUGAUA